UACGUAGGGCGCAAGCGUUGUCCGGAAUUAUUGGGCGUAAAGAGCUCGUAGGCGGCCUGUCGCGUCCGCUGUGAAAUCCCGGGGCUUAACCCCGGGCGUGCAGUGGAUACGGGCUGGCUAGAGGCAGGCAGGGGAGAACGGAAUUCCCGGUGUAGCGGUGAAAUGCGCAGAUAUCAGGAAGAACACCCGUGGCGAAGGCGGUUCUCUGGGACGGUACUGACGCUGAGACGCGAAAGCGUGGGGAGCGAACAGG
rnacentral:rRNA from 1 species